AACCUAUAUGGAGCUUUCUCUGGGAUAUAGAUGGAAGUCCAGUAUCCUAACAACUGCCUUGAGCCCCAACCCCAUCAUCAACAAACAUUUACUGAAUAUCUGCUUUGUGAUGGAUUCUGUACUGGGCUGGAGAUGCAGAAGAGAACACAGCUGGCCCUCAGCCACAAGGACUUUGGCCUGGAAGAUGAGGUACCAAGGCAGAAGCAUGCUGCGUGGCCAAAUGGCAGAACCAAUCCAAACCAGAAAAAUAGAAGAUGGCGAUGGGGUGCCAUUGCAGGAGGUGCCUCGCGCUAGGAGGGAAGAUCUGCGCAUGCCCCCAAGCCCCCACCCCGAGCAAUGAUGCAGAGAAGCCUCCACCUCCACAUCCUACAAGACGCCUGCUCGCCUUCCCUUGGGGAGAAGGUGUUGAGAACCCCUUCAGACUGGCGCUAAGAGAGGAAGAGCCAACAAAUCAGACCUGUGGUCGAGAACUGUCAUCAUGCACAUAGAUCCUAGGAAGGAUCUGAAGCCAGGCAGAGCCCAGGUGAGAGUGGGCCACCCUUCGUGGAAGUGUUGCUUACAGCUGGUUGCUGGGAAUGAACGAGCAGGGUCAUCAGUGUGAGAUUAACGGGUUGAUGAGAUUUGUCAGCCAAGCCAAAGGUCGGAUUUCUAUGAAGAAUGCAGUUGCAGAAUCGAGUUGCUUUUUUUUUUUUCUUUUGAGGAAGAUUAG
rnacentral:lncRNA from 1 species